GAUGAACGCUGGCGGCGUGCCUAAUACAUGCAAGUCGAACGCAUAGCGAAAGGUGCUUGCCCCUUUCAAGUGAGUGGCGAACGGGUGAGUAACACGUGGACAACCUGCCUCAAGGCUGGGGAUAACAUUUGGAAACAGAUGCUAAUACCGAAUAAAACUUAGUGUCGCAUGACACAAAGUUAAAAGGCGCUUCGGCGUCACCUAGAGAUGGAUCCGCGGUGCAUUAGUUAGUUGGUGGGGUAAAGGCCUACCAAGACAAUGAUGCAUAGCCGAGUUGAGAGACUGAUCGGCCACAUUGGGACUGAGACACGGCCCAAACUCCUACGGGAGGCUGCAGUAGGGAAUCUUCCACAAUGGGCGAAAGCCUGAUGGAGCAACGCCGCGUGUGUGAUGAAGGCUUUCGGGUCGUAAAGCACUGUUGUAUGGGAAGAACAGCUAGAAUAGGAAAUGAUUUUAGUUUGACGGUGCCAUACCAGAAAGGGACGGCUAAAUACGUG
rnacentral:rRNA from 1 species